CCUACGGGUGGCAGCAGUGGGGAAUAUUGCGCAAUGGGCGAAAGCCUGACGCAGCGACGCCGCGUGAGGGAUGAAGGUCUUCGGAUCGUAAACCUCUGUCAGCAGGGAAGAACGGUCACUGUGCUAAUCAGCAGUGAAUUGACGGUACCUGCAAAGGAAGCACCGGCUAACUCCGUGCCAGCAGCCGCGGUAAUACGGAGGGUGCGAGCGUUAAUCGGAAUUACUGGGCGUAAAGCGCUCGUAGGCGGUAUGUCAAGUCAAGGGUGAAAUCCCCGCGCUCAACGGGGGAACUGCCUUUGAAACUGGGAAACUGGAGUGUGUGAGAGGAUAGUGGAAGUCCAGGUGUAGGAGUGAAAUCCGUAGAUAUCUGGAGGAACAUCAGUGGCGAAGGCGACUAUCUGGAACAUAACUGACGCUGAGGAGCGAAAGCGUGGGUAGCAAACAGGAUUAGAUACCCCAGUAGUC
rnacentral:rRNA from 1 species